GCAAGACAGAUGGGACUUUCAAAAUGAAAUGUACCUAUGACUGUUUGCUACUAUAUAUAUAAAAUGUCUCAUUUAGUCUCAUCUGUGAUUUUCCAAGAGGAAAAUGUUUCCAGGAGCCAUUUAUCUCAGUCCUGCAGGGUGAGUUCUACAGGCAUCAGAGGAAACCGCUGUACCAUUAAACUCAGUGCUGACGAAAACAGCCACCCCUCCAGCAGAAUGGGGACCCCCUCUCCAUUUCAUAAAUCUUCCCCAAAUACGCCAAAACCAGGAACUGACUGUCUGUCACAUCAAUGGCUCAAAGUCUGGGUGCGUCAGCGCAGUGUGUUCAAAGGGGAUCAAGAGUAUCUAUCUGGCAACAACUUUGGGAGCAGGGAGGCAAUUAUAACUGACAUCCAGAUGUCUGGCUGGGUGGAUGCUACUACCCUGUAAGAAUGCUCAUGGCCUGGAGACAUUUACAACUGAGCAGUGAGUCCAAGACGUGACAGACAGAUCAAUGAUGGUAUCAUAAACCAUCAGCGUGAACCAAAAAAAGUUGCCUGGACUGAUAAAGACUUCAGAUGUCAGGAGUUGCAACAAAGUUCCUUCUCUCCACAUCCUCCAUCAGCCACCCCGCCCCGCCUCCUCACAAACAAGCUUGUUAGUAGUUGAGGGCCCAGCAGGAAAUGUUUUGACACCCAGUGCCAAACCUCAAUCCAUCACUGGAACCUUUAAUACGCUUAAGUGUUUAGAUUAUGGAGGCAAGCGGGAUUCCAACAGAAACCCCCUUGCUUGUGGAAUAUGGAGAUGUUGUCAUUUGACUCUCUACUACCUGCACUGUUCUUCUUUCUUAAUCAAAGAGUAUCCUAAAAGAAGAUAUUAAGAUUCAAAUGUAAAGGAAAUUUAAUUAUGAUGAAAGCAGCACUCAACAUGAAGCUGUUUUUCUUUAUUUGGGAACGUUAGAAAAUAGAAAGUGUCCUUGCUAAAACAUAUGUGUAUAUGUGUGACUUAUGAAAAUAUAUGUAAGUAAAUGUAUGCGAAU
rnacentral:lncRNA from 1 species